AAUAGAUACCCUGGUAGUCCACGCCGUAAACGGUGGGCACUAGGUGUGGGCGACAUUCCACGUCGUCCGUGCCGCAGCUAACGCAUUAAGUGCCCCGCCUGGGGAGUACGGCCGCAAGGCUAAAACUCAAAGGAAUUGACGGGGGGCCCGCACAAGCGGCGGAGCAUGUGGCUUAAUUCGACGCAACGCGAAGAACCUUACCAAGGCUUGACAUACACCGGAAACGUCCAGAGAUGGGCGCCCCCUUGUGGUCGGUGUACAGGUGGUGCAUGGCUGUCGUCAGCUCGUGUCGUGAGAUGUUGGGUUAAGUCCCGCAACGAGCGCAACCCUUGUCCCGUGUUGCCAGCAGGCCCUUGUGGUGCUGGGGACUCACGGGAGACCGCCGGGGUCAACUCGGAGGAAGGUGGGGACGACGUCAAGUCAUCAUGCCCCUUAUGUCUUGGGCUGCACACGUGCUACAAUGGCCGGUACAAUGAGCUGCGAUACCGCGAGGUGGAGCGAAUCUCAAAAAGCCGGUCUCAGUUCGGAUUGGGGU
rnacentral:rRNA from 1 species